rnacentral:misc_RNA from 1 species
CAGCCCGGUAAUUCCAGCUCCAAUAGCGUAUAUUAAAGUUGUUGCAGUUAAAAAGCUCGUAGUUGAAUUUCGGGAUUGACGUGAUGGUCAUGCCUUAAGGGGUAUGAACUGUUACUGUUGAUUUCUCACCUUCUGGAGAAACUUGAUGUCCUUUAUUGGGUGUCUUGCGGAUCCAGGACCUUUACCUUGAAAAAAUUAGAGUGUUUAAAGCAGGCAUUUUUGCUCGAAUACAUUAGCAUGGAAUAAUAGAAUAGGACGGCAUGGUUCUAUUUUGUUGGUUUCUAGGAUCACCGUAAUGAUUAAUAGGGAUAGUUGGGGGCAUUAGUAUUCAAUUGUCAGAGGUGAAAUUCUUGGAUUUAUUGAAGACUAACUACUGCGAAAGCAUUUGCCAAGGAUGUUUUCAUUAAUCAAGAACGAAAGUUAGGGGAUCGAAGACGAUCAGAUACCGUCGUAGUCUUAACCAUAAACUAUGCCGACUAGGAAUCAGACGAUGUUAAUUUUUUAAUGACUCGUUUGGCACCUUACA